rnacentral:rRNA from 1 species
UACGUAGGGUGCAAGCGUUUAAUCGGAAUACUGGGCGUAAAGCGUGCGCAGGCGGUGAUGUAAGACAGUUGUGAAAUCCCCGGGCUCAACCUGGGAACUGCAUCUGUGACUGCAUUGCUGGAGUGCGGCAGAGGGGGAUGGAAUUCCGCGUGUAGCAGUGAAAUGCGUAGAUAUGCGGAGGAACACCGAUGGCGAAGGCAAUCCCCUGGGCCUGCACUGACGCUCAUGCACGAAAGCGUGGGGAGCAACAGG